rnacentral:rRNA from 1 species
UACAGAGGUCUCAAGCGUUGUUCGGAUUCAUUGGGCGUAAAGGGUGCGUAGGCGGCGCGGUAAGUCGGGUGUGAAAUCUCGGGGCUUAACUCCGAAACUGCAUUCGAUACUGCCGUGCUUGAGGACUGGAGAGGAGACUGGAAUUUACGGUGUAGCGGUGAAAUGCGUAGAUAUCGUAAGGAAGACCAGUGGCGAAGGCGGCCUCCUGGAUCGACACUGACGCUAAGGCGCGAAAGCGUGGGGAGCAAACAGG